GUGUCAGCCGCCGCGCGGUAAUACGAAGGGACCUAGCGUAGUUCGGAAUUACUGGGCUUAAAGAGUUCGUAGGUGGUUAAAAAAGUUGGUGGUGAAAGCCCAGAGCUUAACUCUGGAACGGCCAUCAAAACUUUUUAGCUAGAGUAUGAUAGAGGAAAGCAGAAUUUCUAGUGUAGAGGUGAAAUUCGUAGAUAUUAGAAAGAAUACCAAUUGCGAAGGCAGCUUUCUGGAUCAUUACUGACACUGAGGAACGAAAGCAUGGGUAGCGAAGAGGAUUAGAUACCCUCGUAGUCCAUGCCGUAAACGAUGUGUGUUAGAUGUUGGAAAUUUAUUUUCAGUAUCGCAGCGAAAGCAAUAAACACACCGCCUGGGGAGUACGACCGCAAGGUUAAAACUCAAAUGAAUUGACGGGGACCCGCACAAGUAGUGGAGCAUGUGGUUUAAUUCGAAGAUACGCGCAGAACCUUACCAACACUUGACAUGUUCGUCGCGACUCUAAGAGAUUAGAGUUUUCGGUUCGGCCGGACGAAACACAGGUGCUGCAUGGCUGUCGUCAGCUCGUGUCGUGAGAUGUUGGGUUAAGUCCCGCAACGAGCGCAACCCUUACUUUUAGUUGCCAUCAUUUAGUUGGGCACUCUGAAAGAACUGCCAGUGAUAAGCUGGAGGAAGGUGGGGAUGACGUCAAGUCCUCAUGGCCCUUACGUGUUGGGCUACACACGUGCUACAAUGGCAUUUACAAUAUGAAGCAAGAUGGCGACAUCAAGCAAAUCCUAAAAAAUGCCUCAGUUCGGAUUGUACUCUGCAACUCAAGUACUUGAAACUGGAAUUACUAUUAUCGCGGAUCAGCGCGUCCAGGAGAUAUCUUUCCCG
rnacentral:rRNA from 1 species